UGUUUUUUCUAUCCAUUGCUUUGGUCUCUCUAGUUCUGGACUGUAUUGUCUUUCUCUUCUCAAUGGUCUCCCAGCUCCUCUUAGGUUAGCAUCAUCUGUGAAUUUCAUUCAAACAAAUUGCAACAUUUUAAGGUAGAUAUUCUAUAAGAAGAGAAACUUAAAACAGACUGGAUGUAUCAUUUAUUGUAGACCUGAGCAAACAAUUUAUUACAUAUACAUUUCCUUGACAUGGAGUACUGAUGGACUAAAAAUGGGGGGAGGUUAUGUUGUGGGAUGGGUGAGUUUGUGAGCCCUUGGUACUGAUAUGAUAAUUGAAUCCUUGUGAAUGCAUGAGAUCACCUAAACAUUUCUUGGAAAGUGGAGGAGAUGAAUAAGACAGAGCCCUGAAGAACUGCCACAGAAAGAGAUGGGAGAGGAUAAGAAGCUGAUUCAACAGGAAAAGUACAAAAAGACCAGGAAAUAUGAGACUCUCCAGGAAGAAGAAGAAUUGCUUUUACUGUCUCCUCCUCCAGAAGAUUUUUCAUUGUAUUGUCAGAGCAAACCACACCAUAAACCUGUUGGUCAACACUGUGAAAUAAUAAACUCUGAACAGCUGUGAAUUCCAAUCUGAGGCUGAAGGUCAC
ensembl:lncRNA